GAGAAGGAUUGUGAAUGGUUAACAACUUCACUGUAAAUGAAGCAACCGAAAGGUUAUAGGGAGUUCGAUUCUCUCUCUUCUCA
rnacentral:tRNA from 2 species